CGCGUAGGCGGGUUUUCAAGUCGGUUGUGAAAUCCCUCAGCUCAACUGAGGAACUGCAUCCGAUACUGUUUGUCUUGAGGACGAGAGGGGAGAGUGGAACUUCUGGUGGAGCGGUGAAAUGCGUAGAUAUCAGAAGGAACGCCGGUGGCGAAAGCGACUCUCUGGCUCGUAUCUGACGCUGAGGCGCGAAAGCUUGGUAGCAAACG
rnacentral:rRNA from 1 species